AGCCCUAAAAACAUAGCAUUUCUCCCAUUCUUUUUCCCAUCGACUUCACCUCUCCAUGAUUUCCCCUGGCGCUUCAGUUCUCACUCUCUCUCUCUCUCCACCUUCCACGGUCGACCACAGGCGCCUUAGCUCACUCUCGUCUCUCUCCGGCUUCCACCGUCGACCGACAGCGCCUUAGCCCUCACUCUCGUCUCUCUCUGCCUUCCACCGGCACCGCUCACUCUCGUCGCUCGCCUCUCAAGACACAAAUCAUUCACGUACAAUGUCUAUGCACAUUUAUUUAUUGUUCAUUAGAGUUAUUUUUCCUGUUGUCAAUUUUGAGUUUGCAGAAAACUGGAGAUAAAUGCACCUGAGGGAAAACCUAAAUGGUUGGCGAGGGCUAUAAAGUCAUUUGCAAUUGCGUAGAUGGAGGCCAUGAAGUUCAAUACCCAAAAACUGGGACCAAAGCUUUGCUAAUGGGCAUUUUGGUUGAAGGUUGGUAGUUAAAUGAUAAAUAAUUCAAUUUGAUAGUAUAAUCCAAUUAGUUUGUAGCUUAUAAUUCACUCGGAUUUUUAUUUCAUAAAUCUAAAAAUGAUGUUUAUUUCAGUUUAUUUGAUUUCUAGAAGAACUUAUAGAAUAUGAGCUAAUGAAGCCUAGCUUUAGCAAAAAAGAUGAGAUGAUAAGAUAUGAGGUUCCAAGUACCACUAAUUGAUGCAAUUGGAUAUACAACUGGAAGGUGAAAUUAGCAAUAUUGUAUAUCACAAUUGUGAUUAUGAUUAUGACAUAAUUUAUUCAGGUUAGAAUUUUUUGAGAGUGUUAUGUUGUCUAUUAUGACUAGAACAGUAGGUCACAAUUAUGAUUUUGUACGUGACCUAUAACAUUCUUCGUUCUCUGUACUGGUUUGAUAUAUCUACUGUUUAUUUGUGAUGUUGUUACUUGUAACAAGUGCUAUUUUUUGUGGUAAGUAUUAUUAUUUGUAACUUUCAUAAAUGUAUACUAUAUUCAAUUUGUGAUGUGAAUUAAUGGUACUAUGUUGUUAAACAAUGAUGGGCUUGUGCAUGUUAACCUGUUAUAUAGAGGUCACAUGUUAAUUUUAUUGGAGGAUUCUUAAAAGUAUAUUGAGCUAGUUGAUCUUGUUAUUUCAAAGUUGGGGAAUGGAUUAUGCAGAAGUUGCAAUUACAAUGUCAUGUCAUUGUGUGAAACGUCAAGAUCCUCCUUUCCUUACUAAUUACUGGGCAAUCAGGCGAGGCCCCAGUAAAGAGAGUUGGCCAUACCAACAUGGGCUUAGGUCUAUGGCAAAUGAUGGGCAGGACACUAAUGGUUCACAAUUUUUCAUCUGUGACGACCAACUGGUUGGAUGGUCGUCAUGUUGUAUUCAGAAAGGUGCUGUCCGGAAUAGAUGUGGUGUAUAAGAUAGAAGCCAAAUGCAACUAGAGUGGAACAACCAAAAACAAAGUUGUGAUUGCAGACAGUGGUGAACUUCCCCUGUAAUCAGCUUGUACUUGAACUUGUCAGUUUUACCCUUCUACUCACUUCUGCUUACUGCAGAUUAUGGAUCUUAAUUUACAUACCUGAAUUAUGUUAUUUAGGAAAAUGAAAUAGGUACCAGAAAAGUACACUUUUUAGUUUGGCACCUAAUGAAAUAGGUACCAGAAAAGGCACGUAGAAUGUAUAUUAGGAAAGAAGAGAGGAAACAUAUGCGAUUUCUCUUACAUUAUUGACAGAGAUCAUUAGGGAUAAUGUUACCAACCUUUAGAAGGUUCGUUUUACAUU